AAGACUAUAGACCUGCGGAGUACCUGCGGAAGGAUCAUUACUGAGUGAGGGCCCUCUGGGUCCAACCUCCCACCCGUGUCUCUUGUACCAUGUUGCUUCGGCGCGCCCGCCUCACGGCCGCCGGGGGGCAUCUGCCCCCGGGCCCGCGCCCGCCGAAGCCCCCUCUGAACGCUGUCUGAAGAUUGCAGUCUGAGCGAUAAGCAAAAAUUAUUUAAAACUUUCAACAACGGAUCUCUAGAU
rnacentral:misc_RNA from 1 species